AUGAAGAUGGUUUUAUCAUUUUGAAUAUCUUUGAUGAUGCAAUGAGAUGCUUCAAAAAUCACUUUAAAACCUUUGUCACAAAGUUGACUUAUGCUCAAAAGAUUAUGUUUUAAACCAUCAACUAAUAAAACACUUUCAAUAAGAGAGGAUGUGUCAUUACCAAUGUUGCCUUAACCAAUGAUCAUUCCUUUUGAAUUGUCU
rnacentral:lncRNA from 1 species